rnacentral:rRNA from 1 species
GACGAACGCUGGCGGCGUGCUUAACACAUGCAAGUCGAACGGAAAGGCUCCAGCUUGCUGGAGUACUCGAGUGGCGAACGGGUGAGUAACACGUGGGUGAUCUGCCCUGCACUUCGGGAUAAGCCUGGGAAACUGGGUCUAAUACCGGGUAGGACCGCACUUUGGUGUGUGUGGUGGAAAGGUUUUUCUGGUGUGGGAUGAGCUCGCGGCCUAUCAGUUUGUUGGUGGGGUAAUGGCCUACCAAGACGGCGACGGGUAGCCGGCCUGAGAGGGUGGACGGUCACAUUGGGACUGAGAUACGGCCCAGACUCCUACGGGAGGCAGCAGUGGGGAAUAUUGCACAAUGGGGGAAACCCUGAUGCAGCGACGCCGCGUGGGGGAUGAAGGCCUUCGGGUUGUAAACUCCUUUCGCUAGGGACGAAGCUUUUUGUGACGGUACCUGGAGAAGAAGCACCGGCUAACUACGUG